rnacentral:rRNA from 1 species
UACAGAGGGCGCGAGCGUUGUCCGGAUUUAUUGGGCGUAAAGAGCUCGUAGGCGGUUUGUCGCGUCUGCCGUGAAAGUCCGGGGCUCAACUCCGGAUCUGCGGUGGGUACGGGCAGACUAGAGUGAUGUAGGGGAGACUGGAAUUCCUGGUGUAGCGGUGGAAUGCGUAGAGAUCCGGAGGAAGACCGGUGGCGAAGGCGGCCUGCUGGGCAGUACUGACACUGAGGCGCGACAGCGUGGGGAGCAACAGG